GGGAAUACCUGCGACGAGCUCGUUUAAUGAAGCGUCGUCGUUCACAAAAGCAGCGCGCGUUACUGUGAUUGAUGUUUUAGAGUGGUUCAUUUUUAGAAGAAGUUGUGUAUAAUAGAAGCGUU
rnacentral:ribozyme from 1 species